AUGAGUAAUAAAACUAAUUUUUCACUAUCGGUUGUUCCAGCUGUUAGCAAAGAGGCUCCAUUCCUUAGUGACCUGGGAGAAGUGGACACAUGCAGUGAAGGCAGCCAGCCAGCAGAUGCCAGUGUGUUCUCAGGUGUGAGAGGUGAGAAAUCUUCAGGCUAAACAUCCUUAAAUCUC
rnacentral:lncRNA from 1 species